CUUUUCUCCGCCGGCGACCGGCGCACGGGUGAGUAACACGUAUGCAACCGUGCCCCUGUCAGGGGGACAACCCGCCGAAAGGCGGGCUAAACCCGCGUACAUGCCACCGGGGCAUCCCGGAGGCAGGAAAGGACUUCGGCCGGACAGGGAUGGGCAUGCGGCGCAUUAGGCAGUAGGCGGGGUAACGGCCCACCUAACCGACGAUGCGUAGGGGUUCUGAGAGGAAGGUCCCCCACACUGGUACUGAGACACGGACCAGACUCCUACGGAAGGCAGCAG
rnacentral:rRNA from 1 species